UACGGAGGGUGCAAGCGUUAUCCGGAUUCACUGGGUUUAAAGGGUGCGUAGGCGGGUAUGUAAGUCCGUGGUGAAAUCUCCGAGCUUAACUCGGAAACUGCCGUGGGUACUGCGUAUCUUGAAUGUUGUGGAGGUGAGCGGAAUAUGUCAUGUAGCGGUGAAAUGCUUAGAUAUGACAUAGAACACCAAUUGCGAAGGCAGCUCACUACACAAAUAUUGACGCUGAGGCACGAAAGCGUGGGGAUCAAAC
rnacentral:rRNA from 1 species